rnacentral:rRNA from 1 species
GAGUUUGAUCCUGGCUCAGAUUGAACGCUGGCGGCAUGCCUUACACAUGCAAGUCGAACGGCAGCACGGGAGCUUGCUCCUGGUGGGCGAGUGGCGAACGGGUGAGUAAUGCAUCGGAACGUAUCCUGGAGUGGGGGAUAACGUAGCGAAAGUUACGCUAAUACCGCAUAUUCUGUGAGCAGGAAAGCGGGGGACCUUCGGGCCUCGCGCUCUUGGAGCGGCCGAUGUCGGAUUAGCUAGUUGGUGAGGUAAAGGCUCACCAAGGCGACGAUCCGUAGCAGGUCUGAGAGGAUGAUCUGCCACACUGGAACUGAGACACGGUCCAGACUCCUACGGGAGGCAGCAGUGGGAAUUUUGGACAAUGGGGGCAACCCUGAUCCAGCCAUGCCGCGUGAGUGAAGAAGGCCG